rnacentral:rRNA from 1 species
GACGAACGCUGGCGGCGUGCUUAACACAUGCAAGUCGAACGGAAAGACCCUGCUUUUGUGGGGUGCUCGAGUGGCGAACGGGUGAGUAACACGUGAGUAACCUGCCCUUGACUUUGGGAUAACUUCAGGAAACUGGGGCUAAUACCGGAUAGGAGCUCCUGCUGCAUGGUGGGGGUUGGAAAGUUUCGGCGGUUGGGGAUGGACUCGCGGCUUAUCAGCUUGUUGGUGGGGUAGUGGCCUACCAAGGCUUUGACGGGUAGCCGGCCUGAGAGGGUGACCGGCCACAUUGGGACUGAGAUACGGCCCAGACUCCUACGGGAGGCAGCAGUGGGGAAUAUUGCACAAUGGGCGGAAGCCUGAUGCAGCAACGCCGCGUGCGGGAUGACGGCCUUCGGGUUGUAAACCGCUUUCGCCUGUGACGAAGCGUGAGUGACGGUAAUGGGUAAAGAAGCACCGGCUAACUACGUG